rnacentral:rRNA from 1 species
UACGAAGGGGACUAGCGUUGUUCGGAUUUACUGGGCGUAAAGCGCGCGUAGGCGGAUCACUAAGUCAGGGGUGAAAUCCCGAGGCUUAACCUCGGAACUGCCUUUGAUACUGGAGAUCUGGAGAUCGGGGAGAGGUUGGUGGAAUUCCGAGUGUAGAGGUGAAAUUCGUAGAUAUUCGGAGGAACACCAGAAGCGAAGGCGGCCAACUGGCCCGAUCUGACGCUGAGGCGCGAAAAGCGUGGGGGAGCAAACAGG